GGAGUAUUUAGGAGCCUGCCACCAGUUCUUCAUUGCCUGAGUGUUUUUUCCCAUGUGUACCUGUGAGGUGUGGACGGUUUCCUCUUCACCUGGACCUGGACUUCCAGUAUCUCUCUCUACAGUUUGUGAACUUUGGAUCAUCACCACUAGACUGUGGUUUGGAUCCUAAAUUGCCCAAGCUUCGACCUCUGUCUGGACACUGAUCUGUGGUGGACCUCUCUUAUUGGACUUGCCUUCUGGAUAACCUGACUUCCAAGCCCAAUGGUAAAGAACCCCCGGAGUUUGCUACCUGUGACCCAAAGAACCAGAAAAGUCAGAAGUACCUGCCUGAGUAUUUCCUAAUGGGUUUCCAGUGUGACUUGAAACAUUGACGGUAUAUAAACCUUUGAACCUUUACUGGUCUCCUGAGUGAGUUUGCACGUGGGUCAAACAAAUCCCUAAAGAGAUGACAGAUACUAAGCUUUGGCAAACCAUUGAUACAGUGAUUGGCCGAGAACAUCAUAAAUGUCAGAAAAUCAAACUUAAUAUAAACUUGAAUAUUGAAAAUGGCUCUAGAAUUGUGCCAAAUUAUUUUAAGAAUUACUUUAUAGAAUCAGCCAAAGAAUUAUACAGAAGUCCAAAUGAUUUGAUUCUGAUUUAACUGAUCUAAAUUGAUAAAAUGUUCUGUAGUUCAAAACAAUCAAUAAAUAUAAAAUAAAAGAUUUACUGUCACUUA